CGGUGCCAGGCAAGGUUGCUCGCUGGAGGGAUGCUCCUGCUUUAACCCACUCCUGACAGCAGCACAUCAGCCUCCAGUCACCUUGGUGCUGCCAGGGUUUGCAACAUCAGGCACUCACACCCCUGCCCUCUGAUGGAAACCUCUGGACAGGGGCUGCUUUUUGGGGGCAUCAGAGCACCAGAUGCAACAAAAUCUCUGUUGCAAACAACAAAAUACUCUUGAGUACCCUUGAAAUGCUAAAAUGCUCCUUUGGAAAGCCAACAGUGGAAGCUGCAUCUUUUUUGGAGAGGGGUAGAGCCCUGCUGCCACUUAGCCUGACAUCCUGCAUUGCUCCCUGCCAUGCUCCCCACUGUUCCAACGACCACAAAGAGAAGCAUCAGCAGAACCUGCACAGCACCAAGCUCAUGGCAGGCUGCAAAACUCGGCCAAGAAGCCAAAUUCCCUGAUACAACCCCAGGCUGGCUGUGAUGUCAAAUCACUUCAUGCUCUGGGACACUGAGGCAGGGCAGAGGUCCAUGCCAAAGAGAUGCAGCAUCCCUGUGCCCUGGGUUCCUCAUCCAUCCACAAAUCCAGCCUGUCCAGAGAUCAGUCCCACCUUCAGCUGCCCUGGGUGCAUCAGAGCCAAGCACAGGAGCUGCUCCUGGUGUCAGCUGGGAAGAUUGAAAUGCAGCCAGGCUGUGGGAGCCUGCAGCCAAGCCCUUACAGACGAGGGCAGGACUGAGCACAGAGGUCUAUGAGGAAUCUUCUUAGAGGGAUUGGAAAGAGAGGCUAAGGCAGCACAAAAAAGCAUCCCACAGUGAGGGAUGCUCCACAGAUCCUGUGACAGCCGCAUCUUCCUGACACACACACUGCUGCCCUGAAUCACAAAAACAAGAGCUUCCCAUCAGUGAGGGGCAGAGCAGAAAAUUAUGGAGCUUCUCUCAAAGCCCUGCUCUAAUAUUUGAGCCUUUCAAGCAUCAGAAAAGAAUUUAAUCCACUUUACAACUAGCAUCAGAUAACAGUGACAUUAAAAAGCAGUCAGAACCAA